GGAAGACCUUAAUAAGGGGAAGGAUCCUGCUCAGAUUGCAUUGGAUGAAGCUGCUUUUUUGUUGGACUUAGCUUCUGUUGAAGGAACUUGGGAUGACUCAUCAGAGCAAAUAGCUGCAUGCUAUAAGGAGGCUGGACUCCAAGAUGUUGCCAGAUUUAUACAAUACAGAGAUUGACUUCUCUGUUUUUGGUGGGCUAUUGAUCAAUCCAAAU
rnacentral:misc_RNA from 1 species